rnacentral:tRNA from 1 species
GGAAUGGUGGUGCAGUUGGCAGCACCCCCGUCUGUCCGUCAAGCGGGUGACCUGAGUUCGAUUCUUAGUCAUUCCU